rnacentral:lncRNA from 1 species
CAGAAACAGAGUCCAGUUAAGUUCAGUUAUCCAACAGUGCAGACCCUCUCCUCGCGUACCGCUUCGUCGAGAGCCGUAGGAUAUUUACUGUAGUAAGUCCAUUGUCGGGCUGUAGCGUUUCUUACCCUUUUCGGUAAAACCUUUGAGCCUAUUAAUAGCUGCCGGGAUGUGGCUAGCUGAACAUGAUUUUAUCUUCCUCCUUGUCUGAGAACAAGCAUAUACUGGGAAUAUACGUUAGCUCGGGAGAACUUUCCCCUUUCCUUCCUAAAU